ACUCAAAGGAAUUGACGGGGGCCCGCACAAGCGGCGGAGCAUGUUGCUUAAUUCGAUGCAACGCGAAGAACCUUACCUAGGCUUGACAUGCAGGGAAAAGCCGUGGAAACACGGUGUCCUUCGGGGUCCUGCACAGGUGGUGCAUGGCUGUCGUCAGCUCGUGUCGUGAGAUGUUGGGUUAAGUCCCGCAACGAGCGCAACCCUUGUCCUAUGUUGCCAGCGGGUAAUGCCGGGGACUCGUAGGAGACUGCCGGGGUCAACUCGGAGGAAGGUGGGGACGACGUCAAGUCAUCAUGCCCCUUAUGCCUAGGGCUGCAAACAUGCUACAAUGGCCAGUACAGAGGGCUGCAAACCCGCGAGGGGGAGCGAAUCCCAAAAAGCUGGUCUCAGUUCGGAUCGUAGUCUGCAACUCGACUGCGUGAAGGUGGAGUCGCUAGUAAUCGCAGAUCAGCAUUGCUGCGGUGAAUACGUUCCCGGGCCUUGUACACACCGCCCGU
rnacentral:rRNA from 1 species